UCUGGCCUACGGGAGGCAGCAGUGGGGGAUAUUGCACAAUGGGGGGAACCCUGAUGCAGCGACGCCGCGUGGUGAAGAAGCGCCUCGGCGCGUAAAGCCCUGUCAGCAGGGAAGAAAAUGACGGUACCCGAAGAAGAAGCCCCGGCUAACUACGUGCCAGCAGCCGCGGUAAUACGUAGGGGGCAAGCGUUAUCCGGAUUUACUGGGUGUAAAGGGAGCGCAGGCGGCCUGGCAAGCCUGAUGUGAAAUACCGGGGCCCAACCCCGGGGCUGCAUUGGGAACUGCCAGGCUGGAGUGCCGGAGAG
rnacentral:rRNA from 1 species